UACGUAGGGUGCAAGCGUUGUCCGGAAUUAUUGGGCGUAAAGAGCUCGUAGGCGGCUCGUUGCGUCGACUGUGAAAACCCGCGGCUUAACUGCGGGCUUGCAGUUGAUACGGGCAGGCUAGAGUUCGGUAGGGGAGACUGGAAUUCCUGGUGUAGCGGUGAAAUGCGCAGAUAUCAGGAGGAACACCGGUGGCGAAGGCGGGUCUCUGGGCCGAUACUGACGCUGAGGAGCGAAAGCGUGGGGAGCGAACAGG
rnacentral:rRNA from 1 species